AAUAAAAAAAUUAUUAAUAAUUAGUAUAAAAAUUUAAUAAAAAUAAUUUUAUUUAUAAUUAUUUUUAGUAUAGAUUAUAGAAAAAAUUAAUUUAAUUAUAGUUAAUUAGUAUUGUAAAAGAAAUUUGAUAAAUGAUUUUAUUAUAUGAAAGUAAAAUUAAUUUUUUGUACCUUGUGUAUCAGGGUUUAUUAAAUAAAUUUUAUAAAUUUUAAUUUUCCCGAUUUUAAGAGAGAGAAUAAAUAAUUUUUUUUAUUGUAAAAAAAAUAUUUAAAAUUGUUUAUUAGUAAUGAAAAGUUAUUCGUUCUUAAAUGUAUCUGGUUUAUUUAGAAAUGAAUUUAAUUCAGUUAAUUUUAUUUUAUUAUCUUAUUUUAAUAAUUUGAUAAAUUAAAUUAAUAAUAAUUAAAGGGAUAAGCUUUUAAUUAAUUUCUAAAAUAAUCUUAUUUAAAUAGAAAAUAUAUAGGUUUAGAAAUAUCCUUUAUUAAUAAUUUGUUAUAAUUAGUUUUUAUUUUAAUAUUAUUUUAUAUUUAUUUAGUAAUAUAUAAAUAAGUUUUAUUUAAUAUUAUAAUAUUAGGUAUAAUGAUAAAAUUAGUAUAUUUUAAAAUAUUUAGAUAAAUUUUUAUUUGUAGAUUAUUUAAAGGAAUUCGGCAAAAAUUUUUAUUCGCCUGUUUAACAAAAACAUGUCCUUUAGAAAUUAGAAUUUAAGGUCUGACCUGCCCACUGAUAUUUUGAAUGGCCGCAGUAAUUUGACUGUGCAAAGGUAGCAUAAUCAUUAGUUUUUUAAUUAAAAGCUUGUAUGAAUGGUUGGACGAAAUAAAAUCUGUCUCUGAGUAAGUAUUAGAAAUUAAUUUUUAAGUUAAAAAGCUUAAAUUUUAUUAAAAGACGAGAAGACCCUAUAGAUCUUUAUAAUAUUUUUUAUAAUUUUAUUUCAGAUUUUUUUAUUAAUUAUAAAUACUAUUAUUUUAUUGGGGUAAUAAAAAGAUUAAAAUAAUUCUUUUUAAAAUUUAACAAAAAUAAUUGGUUAUAUGAUCCUUUUUUAUUGAUUAUAAGAUUAAGUUACCUUAGGGAUAACAGCGUAAUUUUUUUAGAGAGUUCAUAUCGAUAAAAAAGUUUGCGACCUCGAUGUUGGAUUAAAAAUUAUUUUGGGUGUAGAAGUUCAAAGUUUUGGUCUGUUCGACCAUUAGAUUUUUACAUGAUCUGAGUUCAGACCGGCGUAAGCCAGGUCGGUUUCUAUCUUUAUAAAAUUAUUAUAUUUUAGUACGAAAGGACCAAAUAUAGAAUAUAAUUAUAUUUAUUAUUUGAAUAAUAUU
rnacentral:rRNA from 1 species